GAUCAUGGCUCAGGAUGAACGCUAGCGGCAGGCUUAACACAUGCAAGUCGAGGGGCAGCGCGAGUAGCAAUACUUGGCGGCGACCGGCGCAAGGGUGCGUAACGCGUGAGCAACAUGCCCGUAUCAGGGGGAUAAUCCAGGGAAACUUGGUCUAAUACCCCAUAGUAAUUUUGUAAGGCAUCUUAUAAGAUUUAAAGCUUUGGUGGAUACGGAUUGGCUCGCGUGACAUUAGCUGGAUGGUAAGGUAACGGCUUACCAUGGCUAUGAUGUCUAGGGGUUCUGAGAGGAAGGUCCCCCACACUGGAACUGAGACACGGUCCAGACUCCUACGGGAGGCAGCAGUGAGGAAUAUUGGACAAUGGAUGGAAAUCUGAUCCAGCCAUGCCGCGUAGAAGGAAGAAGGUCCUAUGGAUUGUAAACUUCUUUUGUAUGGGAGCAAUAAGGCCUACGAGUAGGUUGAUGAGAGUACCAUACGAAUAAGCACCGGCUAACUCCGUGCCAGCCGCCGC
rnacentral:rRNA from 1 species